rnacentral:rRNA from 1 species
UUGAGAUUUUAACACGAAGUGAGUGGCGAACGGGUGAGUAACACGUGGGUAACCUGCCCAGAAGUAGGGGAUAACACCUGGAAACAGAUGCUAAUACCGUAUAACAGAGAAAACCGCAUGGUUUUCUUUUAAAAGAUGGCUCUGCUAUCACUUCUGGAUGGACCCGCGGCGUAUUAGCUAGUUGGUGAGGUAAAGGCUCACCAAGGCAGUGAUACGUAGCCGACCUGAGAGGGUAAUCGGCCACAUUGGGACUGAGACACGGCCCAGACUCCUACGGGAGGCAGCAGUAGGGAAUCUUCCACAAUGGACGCAAGUCUGAUGGAGCAACGCCGCGUGAGUGAAGAAGGGUUUCGGCUCGUAAAGCUCUGUUGUUAAAGAAGAACGUGGGUAAGAGUAACUGUUUACCCAGUGACGGUAUUUAACCAGAAAGCCACGGCUAACUACGUGCCAGCAGCCGCGGUAAUACGUAGGUGGCAAGCGUUAUCCGGAUUUAUUGGGCGUAAAGCGAGCGCAGGCGGUCUUUUAAGUCUAAUGUGAAAGCCUUCGGCUCAACCGAAGAAGUGCAUUGGAAACUGGGAGACUUGAGUGCAGAAGAGGACAGUGGAACUCCAUGUGUAGCGGUGAAAUGCGUAGAUAUAUGGAAGAACACCAGUGGCGAAGGCGGCUGUCUGGUCUGCAACUGACGCUGAGGCUCGAAAGCAUGGGUAGCGAACAGGAUUAGAUACCCUGGUAGUCCAUGCCGUAGACGAUGAUUACUAAGUGUUGGAGGGUUUCCGCCCUUCAGUGCUGCAGCUAACGCAUUAAGUAAUCCGCCUGGGGAGUACGACCGCAAGGUUGAAACUCAAAAGAAUUGACGGGGGCCCGCACAAGCGGUGGAGCAUGUGGUUUAAUUCGAAGCUACGCGAAGAACCUUACCAGGUCUUGACAUCUUCUGACAGUCUAAGAGAUUAGAGGUUCCCUUCGGGGACAGAAUGACAGGUGGUGCAUGGUUGUCCUCAGCUCCUGUCGUGAGAUGUUGGGUUAAAUCCCGCAACGAGCGCAACCCUUAUUACUAGUUGCCAGCAUUAAGUUGGGGCACUCUAUGGGAGACUGCCGGUGAACAAACCGGAAGGAAGGUGGNGGACGAAGUUCAAAUCAUCAUGGCCCCUUAUGACCGGGGGUACCCCCGGGCUCCAAUGGAAUGGUACACCGAUUCCCUGGAACCCCGA